rnacentral:rRNA from 1 species
AGAGUUUGAUCAUGGCUCAGGAUGAACGCUAGCUACAGGCUUAACACAUGCAAGUCGAGGGGCAGCAUGUUGGUUGCUUGCAACCAACGAUGGCGACCGGCGCACGGGUGAGUAACGCGUAUCCAACCUACCCUUGUCCAUCGGAUAACCCGUCGAAAGGCGGCCUAACACGAUAUGCGGUUCACGGCAGGCAUCUAAGGUGAACGAAAUGUGAAGGAGAAGGAUGGGGAUGCGUCUGAUUAGCUUGUUGGCGGGUAACGGCCACCAAGGCUACGAUCAGUAGGGGUUCUGAGAGGAAGGUCCCCCACAUUGGAACUGAGACACGGUACCAAACUCCGUACGGGAGGCA